AGUUCGUGCUUCUUUAAAGGGGCUGCUGGGCGCGCGUGUAGGACUUUGGGCUUGUUACAACCUCUAGGGUUUGAGCUUCCUGGACCACAUCGGCAACGCUCUUUCCAGAUUACUUACAACUCCCUGCCUUCCCCCGGCCUGGGAAAAGCACCGCCUACUUCUCAAGGCCUUCUGACCCUCUGUCUACAGUGCCUGCCUGGCAUGGGACUACCCUUCUGAUAGAAAAGUUCAGCACAUCUGUACUGGCUGGUUUUGUGUGUCAAUUUGAUACAAACUAGAGUUAUCUGAAAGGAGGGAGCUUUGAGAAAAUGCCUCCAUAGGAUCCAACUGUAAGGCAUUUUCUCAAUGAUUGGUGGGAGAGGACCCAGCCCAUUGUGGGUAGUACCACCCCUGGGCUUAUUGGUGGUGUCUGUAAGAAAGCAAGCUGCACAAGCCAGUAAGCAGCACCCCUCCAUGGCCUGUGCAUCAGCUUCUGCCUCCAGGUUCCAGCCCUGCUUGAGUUCCUAUCCUGACUUCCUUCAGUAAUGAACAGCAAUAUAGACGUGUAAGCCAAAUAAACCCUUUCCUCCCU
rnacentral:lncRNA from 1 species